rnacentral:rRNA from 1 species
AACGAACGCUGGCGGCAUGCCUAACACAUGCAAGUCGAACGAGACCUUCGGGUCUAGUGGCGCACGGGUGCGUAACGCGUGGGAACCUGCCCUUAGGUUCGGAAUAACUCCCCGAAAGGGGUGCUAAUACCGGAUAAUGUCUUCGGACCAAAGAUUUAUCGCCUUUGGAUGGGCCCGCGUUGGAUUAGCUAGUUGGUAGGGUAAAAGCCUACCAAGGCGACGAUCCAUAGCUGGUCUGAGAGGAUGAUCAGCCACACUGGGACUGAGACACGGCCCAGACUCCUACGGGAGGCAGCAGUGGGGAAUAUUAGACAAUGGGCGAAAGCCUGAUCCAGCAAUGCCGCGUGAGUGAUGAAGGCCUUAGGGUUGUAAAGCUCUUUUACCCGGGAUGAUAAUGACAGUACCGGGAGAAUAAGCUCCGGCUAACUCCGUG